rnacentral:rRNA from 1 species
UACGUAGGGUGCGAGCGUUAAUCGGAAUUACUGGGCGUAAAAGUGUGCGCAGGUGGCCGCGCAUGUCGAGUGUGAAAUCCCCGGGCUUAACUUGGGAAUUGCGCUCGAAACUACGUGGCUCGAGUGUGGCAGAGGAAGGUGGAAUUCCACGUGUAGCGGUGAAAAUGCGUAGAUAUGUCACAGAACACCGAUUGCGAAGGCAGCUUACUAUGGUCUGAUUGACGCUUGAGGCACGAAAGCGUGGGGAUCAAACAGG